GCCGGCCAAGCAGUCUGAAAUAAACUUAGCAACUCAUCUUGUUUAAGGGGCGUGGAACGGGGGGAGUGCGAUGCGAGUGAGAGGAGCGACCGUGACUGCACACCUGCUGUAUACCAGGCCUCGUAUCUCAUUUAGCCUCAAAACAACCCUGUGUGUUAAGUAUUCUCACCCUAAUCUUGAAGAUCUGGGAACUGAUAAUUAGGGUAACUGAUCCUCCGAAACGACUGCUAAGCACAGGCUCGAGGCAGUAACUUCCAUGCACAUAUCUGUGGUAAGAGACCAUCCACUGCCAUAGCACAGAGCAUUGGGAACACAAGUUAACAGUCUUGAAAUAGGUCAUCAAGGUGGGGCGCAGUGGCUCAAGCCUGUAAUCCCAGCACUUUGGG
rnacentral:lncRNA from 1 species